rnacentral:misc_RNA from 1 species
AAGUCGUAACAAGGUUUCCGUAGGUGAACCUGCGGAAGGAUCAUUAGCGAAGCUCGGAAUGCGUGUCCGGUCUGAUGCUGCCCUGCAAAGGGAUGUGCUCGUCCGGAUGCGUGUCCCUUCUCUAUUCCACCCCUUUGUGAACCAAGUGUGCGAGCCGAAGAGAGAUCGGAGGCUCGCAUGCAAACCCUUAACAUACCCCAAUGAAGUAUCAGAAUGUACCUUGCGUUAACUCGCACAAAUACAACUUUCAACAACGGAUCUCUUGGCUCUC